UACGUAGGGUGCAAGCGUUGUCCGGAAUUAUUGGGCGUAAAGAGCUCGUAGGCGGCCUGUCGCGUCGGAUGUGAAAGCCCGGGGCUUAACCCCGGGUCUGCAUUCGAUACGGGCAGGCUAGAGUUCGGUAGGGGAGACUGGAAUUCCUGGUGUAGCGGUGAAAUGCGCAGAUAUCAGGAGGAACACCGAUGGCGAAGGCAGGUCUCUGGGCCGAUACUGACGCUGAGGAGCGAAGGCGUGGGGAGCGAACAGG
rnacentral:rRNA from 1 species